CAGAAAAUAGUUUAUUUUAAAAUAGUAAUUUUGGAGAUUACAGAUAAGAGUUUCUUUUUUCUGA
rnacentral:tRNA from 1 species